rnacentral:rRNA from 1 species
UGAACGCUGGCGGCGUGCUUAACACAUGCAAGUCGAACGAGAACGGCUCUAGCUUGCUAGAGUGUCAGCUAAGUGGCGGACGGGUGAGUAAUGUAUAGUUAAUCUGCCCUUCAGAGGGGGAUAACAGUUAGAAAUGACUGCUAAUACCCCAUACUCCUAUUGCUGUAAAGGUAAUAGGGAAAUGUCUUUUCGCUGAAGGAUGAGACUAUAUGGUAUCAGGUAGUUGGUGGGGUAAGAGCCUACCAAGCCAAUGACGCCUAGCUGGUCUGAGAGGAUGAUCAGCCACACUGGAACUGAGACACGGUCCAGACUCCUACGGGAGGCAGCAGUGGGGAAUAUUGCACAAUGGACGAAAGUCUGAUGCAGCAACGCCGCGUGGAGGAUGACACAUUUCGGUGCGUAAACUCCUUUUAUAUGGGAAGAUAAUGACGGUACCAUAUGAAUAAGCACCGGCUAACUCC